rnacentral:rRNA from 1 species
AUUGAACGCUGGCGGCAGGCCUAACACAUGCAAGUCGAACGAGUGGCGGACGGGUGCGUAACGCGUAUGCAAUCUACCUUGUACAGAGGGAUAGCCCAGAGAAAUUUGGAUUAAUACCUCAUAGUACAAGAUGAGCAUGCGUCCCAUUAGUUAGUUGGUGUGGUAACGGCACACCAAGACGAUGAUGGGUAGGGGUCCUGAGAGGGAGAUCCCCCACACUGGUACUGAGACACGGACCAGACUCCUACGGGAGGCAGCAGUGAGGAAUAUUGGUCAAUGGAGGCAACUCUGAACCAGCCAUGCCGCGUGCAGGAUGACGGUCUAUGGAUUGUAAACUGCUUUGAUACGGGAAGCGGUACCGUAAGAAUAAGGAGCGGCUAACUCCGUGCCAGCAGCCGCGGUAAUAC